rnacentral:rRNA from 1 species
AGAGUUUGAUCAUGGCUCAGAACGAACGCUGGCGGCAUGCCUAACACAUGCAAGUCGAACGAAGGCUUCGGCCUUAGUGGCGCACGGGUGCGUAACGCGUGGGAAUCUGCCCCUCGGUUCGGAAUAACAGUUAGAAAUGACUGCUAAUACCGGAUAAUGACUUCGGUCCAAAGAUUUAUCGCCGAGGGAUGAGCCCGCGUAAGAUUAGCUUGUUGGUGGGGUAAUGGCCUACCAAGGCGACGAUCUUUAGCUGGUCUGAGAGGAUGAUCAGCCCACUGGGACUGAGACACGGCCCCAGACUCCUACGGGAGGCAGCAGUGGGGAAUAUUGGACAAUGGGCGAAAGCCUGAUCCAGCAAUGCCGCGUGAGUGAUGAAGGCCUUAGGGUUGUAAAGCUCUUUUACCAGGGAUGAUAAUGACAGUACCUGGAGAAUAAGCUCCGGCUAACUCCGUGCCAGCAGCCGCGGUAAUACGGAGGGAGCUAGCGUUGUUCGGAAUUACUGGGCGUAAAGCGCACGUAGGCGGCUAUUCAAGUCAGAGGUGAAAGCCCGGGGCUCAACCCCGGAACUGCCUUUGAAACUAGAUAGCUAGAAUCUUGGAGAGGUCAGUGGAAUUCCGAGUGUAGAGGUGAAAUUCGUAGAUAUUCGGAAGAACACCAGUGGCGAAGGCGACUGACUGGACAAGUAUUGACGCUGAGGUGCGAAAGCGUGGGGAGCAAACAGGAUUAGAUACCCUAGUAGUCC